GUACAUCUCGCAUUGUGACCAUCUGUUGUUAACGCAUGGUUUCAAUGGGAUAUGUUGAU
rnacentral:pre_miRNA from 1 species